rnacentral:tRNA from 1 species
GCCCUUAUGGGACAGUGGUAGUCCGCAUCACUCGUACAAGACUCUUGUGUGUGACAUGAUGAAGUCCACGGUUCGAUCCCGUGUGGGGGCA